rnacentral:rRNA from 1 species
GAUGAACGCUGGCGGCGUGCCUAAUACAUGCAAGUCGAGCGAACAGACGAGGAGCUUGCUCCUCUGACGUUAGCGGCGGACGGGUGAGUAACACGUGGAUAACCUACCUAUAAGACUGGGAUAACUUCGGGAAACCGGAGCUAAUACCGGAUAAUAUAUUGAACCGCAUGGUUCAAUAGUGAAAGACGGUUUUGCUGUCACUUAUAGAUGGAUCCGCGCCGCAUUAGCUAGUUGGUAAGGUAACGGCUUACCAAGGCAACGAUGCGUAGCCGACCUGAGAGGGUGAUCGGCCACACUGGAACUGGGACGCGGUCCAGACUCCUACGGGAAGCAGCAGUAGGGAAUAUUCCGCAAUGGGCGAAAGCCUGACGGAGCAACGCCGCGUGAGUGAUGAAGGUCUUCGGAUCGUAAAACUCUGUUAUUAGGGAAGAACAAAUGUGUAAGUAACUAUGCACGUCUUGACGGUACCUAAUCAGAAAGCCACGGCUAGAUACGUG